ACUAUCCUUUUCUUGGGGUGGCGUUACUGUCCAAUUAGCAUGCAGUGAGGGCAGUACUGCUAACGCCUUUAAAAAGAAAAUCCCCAGGUGAUUACAAUAUAUAGCAAAAUUUGGGAACC
rnacentral:ncRNA from 1 species